rnacentral:rRNA from 1 species
GACGGAGGAUGCAAGCGUUAUCCGGAAUUAUUGGGCGUAAAGCGUCCGCAGGUGGACAUACAAGUCUGCUGUCAAAGUGCAGAGCUUAACUCUGUAAAGGCGGUGGAAACUGUAGGUCUUGAGUAUGGUAGGGGUAGAGGGAAUUCCCGGUGUAGCGGUGAAAUGCGUAGAGAUUGGGAAGAACACCAGCGGCGAAAGCGUGCUACUGGGUCUGCACUGACACUGAGGGACGAAAGCUAGGGGAGCGAAAGGG